UACAGAGGGUGCGAGCGUUGUUCGGAAUGACUGGGCGUAAAGCGCGUGUAGGCGGCUCGGCAAGUCGGGUGUGAAAGCCCUGGGCUCAACCCAGGAAGUGCACUCGAAACUGCCGGGCUGGAGUCCCGGAGAGGAAGGCGGAAUUCUCGGUGUAGAGGUGAAAUUCGUAGAUAUCGAGAGGAACACCGGUGGCGAAGGCGGCCUUCUGGACGGCGACUGACGCUGAGACGCGAAAGCGUGGGGAGCAAACAGG
rnacentral:misc_RNA from 1 species